rnacentral:lncRNA from 10 species
UUACUUAUUUUAGAAAUUGUGUGAUACAGAUUUAACUUAUAAUACUAUUUCUAGCCCCAAAUUGUUUAAGUGAAUUUGAUAAACUAGAUUAUUAUGUAUAACCAUUUCUUUCAGUUAAUGGUACUGGAGCAGAUGAUCAUGUAUUAAUAAAGUUGCCCAUGACAAAAUCCUGGCCCUUCCGACCCCCUAAGCCAGAAUUCUUUCUGUCAUUGUUUCAGGCUUCAAAAUGGUGAGAAGAUAAUGAGAAAAGGAAAGAAUCUAUGGAUAAGAAGUAAGGAGAAAAUCGUUGACAAUUGUCAAAAUCUUGCCUCAUUACUUCUCCAGGAAUGAUGUCUAUCCUUUUCUUCAAACACAUUCUGUAUUCUAGGAAUUCUGAAUUAUUUUGGAUUAGCCAAACUCACUAUAAACUCUACUAGAAAGAUGUGAUUGCUUCCCCUUCUGCCAUGAUCGGAAGUCUCCUGAGACAUCCCCAGCCAUGUGGAACUAUAAAUAGGAAACCCUGCCAUGUUGAAAGGAAUACAACCCAACAUGGAGUAGAAACAAGAAAUCAAGAUAUACACUCUAGGACAAGGAGCAAUAAGAAUUUGACUUAAAAUGGUUAUUUAGCAUGUAUUAGAGUUGCAACUGGAUUUUAUGUAGUUAUGAGGGAACCCUGAAAAAAGUACCAUUGAACAGAAAUGAGAUUUGGUUUCAGAACUUCAGCCCAAAUGCUAUUAAAUCUUUUGCAUUUCUUGAACUAUACCCCUUGUGUCUUUGUCAUAAUUUUCCAGAGGUCUUCUCAGUCAAUAUGGGUUCAGUUUACAUAAUCCUGUCAACUGAAUAAAGUAAAUAUGUAUUAGGCUUCUGAGUAAAGUGUAAUCAUAAGCAUUGCAUUGAUAUAAGAUAUAUAAACUCAAGGAUAUAAAGAAACAAUUUUUUUGUUCGUUUUGUUUUGGUUUUGUUUUAAGUCAAAGGAAAGGUGUGGUUCAGGAGUGAUAAAUUGCAGCCUGGUGAUCAAGAAGAUUUAAAAUUUAUCUCAACUUUACUAAAGUCUUCCUGACUAUAGGCCCCUGACCAAUCUUUUCUUGGAGCACUUACUUCAGAAAAAUUGCAAAUGUUAAUUUUUUAUUUGCUGAUGAUGUAAUAUCUGUCUCAAGUAUCUGGGAAUCAUCAAUUUGAAAAGUAAUAGGAAAGAAAGAACCCUUGUCUCCUAGUUUCAGUGAAAUGAUAGGAGUUGUAGAUAAAUACCAACUAGCAACACAAAUGGCCUAAUAACAUUGCACAACCUAUUUGAUAACAUCAUUGUCUUCCAGUACUUUUCCAGUAGCUUCCCCUGGUGCUUAAGAAUUUACCCAACUUCUGUUUGAGUGGAGUGGAGUCAUUCUUUCUCCUUCACAAUAGUGUUGAAUAAA